rnacentral:rRNA from 1 species
UGAGGAAUAUUGGUCAAUGGGGGCAACCCUGAACCAGCCAAGUCGCGUGAAGGAUGAAGGUCCUAUGGAUUGUAAACUUCUUUUAUACAGGAAUAAAUUGGGGGACGUGUCCCCUUUUGCAUGUACUGUAUGAAUAAGGAUCGGCUAACUCCGUGCCAGCAGCCGCGGUAAUACGGAGGAUCCGAGCGUUAUCCGGAUUUAUUGGGUUUAAAGGGUGCGCAGGCGGGAUGUUAAGUCGGCGGUGAAAUUUUGCAGCUCAACUGUAAAAGUGCCUUCGAUACUGGCUUCCUUGAGUGUAGAUGAAGUAGGCGGAAUUUGUGGUGUAGCGGUGAAAUGCUUAGAUAUCACGAGGAACUCCGAUUGCGCAGGCAGCUUACUAAACUACAACUGACGCUCAUGCACGAAGGCGUGGGGAUCAAACA